GCUAGCUACAGGCUUAACACAUGCAAGUCGAGGGGCAGCAUGGUCUUAGCUUGCUAAGGCCGAUGGCGACCGGCGCACGGGUGAGUAACACGUAUCCAACCUGCCGUCUACUCUUGGACAGCCUUCUGAAAGGAAGAUUAAUACAAGAUGGCAUCAUGAGUCCGCAUGUUCACAUGAUUAAAGGUAUUCCGGUAGACGAUGGGGAUGCGUUCCAUUAGAUAGUAGGCGGGGUAACGGCCCACCUAGUCUUCGAUGGAUAGGGGUUCUGAGAGGAAGGUCCCCCACAUUGGAACUGAGACACGGUCCAAACUCCUACGGGAGGCAGCAGUGAGGAAUAUUGGUCAAUGGGCGCAGGCCUGAACCAGCCAAGUAGCGUGAAGGAUGACUGCCCUAUGGGUUGUAAACUUCUUUUAUAAAGGAAUAAAGUCGGGUAUGGAUACCCGUUUGCAUGUACUUUAUGAAUAAGGAUCGGCUAACUCCGUGCCAGCAGCCGCGGUAAUACGGAGGAUCCGAGCGUUAUCCGGAUUUAUUGGGUUUAAAGGGAGCGUAGAUGGAUGUUUAAGUCAGUUGUGAAAGUUUGCGGCUCAACCGUAAAAUUGCAGUUGAUACUGGAUAUCUUGAGUGCAGUUGAGGCAGGCGGAAUUCGUGGUGUAGCGGUGAAAUGCUUAGAUAUCACGAAGAACUCCGAUUGCGAAGGCAGCCUGCUAAGCUGCAACUGACAUUGAGGCUCGAAAGUGUGGGUAUCAAACAGGAUUAGAUACCCUGGUAGUCCACACGGUAAACGAUGAAUACUCGCUGUUUGCGAUAUACUGCAAGCGGCCAAGCGAAAGCGUUAAGUAUUCCACCUGGGGAGUACGCCGGCAACGGUGAAACUCAAAGGAAUUGACGGGGGCCCGCACAAGCGGAGGAACAUGUGGUUUAAUUCGAUGAUACGCGAGGAACCUUACCCGGGCUUAAAUUGCAGAUGAAUUACGGUGAAAGCCGUAAGCCGCAAGGCAUCCGUGAAGGUGCUGCAUGGUUGUCGUCAGCUCGUGCCGUGAGGUGUCGGCUUAAGUGCCAUAACGAGCGCAACCCUUGUUGUCAGUUACUAACAGGUUCCGCUGAGGACUCUGACAAGACUGCCAUCGUAAGAUGUGAGGAAGGUGGGGAUGACGUCAAAUCAGCACGGCCCUUACGUCCGGGGCUACACACGUGUUACAAUGGGGGGUACAGAGGGCCGCUACCACGCGAGUGGAUGCCAAUCCCAAAAACCUCUCUCAGUUCGGGCUGGAGUCUGCAACCCGACUCCACGAAGCUGGAUUCGCUAGUAAUCGCGCAUCAGCCACGGCGCGGUGAAUACGUUCCCGGGCCUUGUACACACCGCCCGUCAAGCCAUGGGAGCCGGGGGUACCUGAAGUGCGUAACCGCGAGGAGCGCCCUAGGGUAAAACUGGUGACUGGGGCUAA
rnacentral:rRNA from 1 species